rnacentral:rRNA from 1 species
AACGAACGCUGGCGGCAUGCCUAACACAUGCAAGUCGAACGAGACCUUCGGGUCUAGUGGCGCACGGGUGCGUAACGCGUGGGAACCUGCCCUUAGGUUCGGAAUAACUCCCCGAAAGGGGUGCGAAUACCGGAUAAUGUCUUCGGACCAAAGAUUUAUCGCCUUUGGAUGGGCCCGCGUUGGUUUAGCUAGUUGGUAGGGUAAAAGCCUACCAAGGCGACGAUCCAUAGCUGGUCUGAGAGGAUGAUCAGCCACACUGGGACUGAGACACGGCCCAGACUCCUACGGGAGGCAGCAGUGGGGAAUAUUGGACAAUGGGCGACAGCCUGAUCCAGCAAUGCCGCGUGAGUGAUGAAGGCCUUAGGGUUGUACAGCUCUUUUACCCGGGAUGAUAAUGACAGUACCGGGAGAAUAAGCUCGGGCUAACUCCGUG